AGAAUCAACGCUGGCGGCGUGCCUAACACAUGCAAGUCGAACGAGAAAGGGGAGCAAUCCCUGAGUAAAGUGGCGACCGGGUGAGUAACACGUGACUAACCUACCCUCGAGUGUGGAAUAACAUCGGGAAACCGAUGCUAAUACCGCAUAACAUCGGCGCUUUUAAGAGAUGCCGAUCAAAGGAGCAAUCCGCUUGAGGAGGGGGUCGCGGCUGAUUAGCUAGUUGGCGGGGUAACGGCCACCAAGGCGAAGAUCGGUAGCCGGCCUGAGAGGGCGCACGGCCACACUGGAACUGAAACACGGUCCAGACUCCUACGGAGGCAGCAGUGGGGAAUUUUGCGCAAUGGGGAAACCCUGACGCAGCAACGCCGCGUGGAGGAUGAAGCCCCUUGGGGCGUAAACUCCUUUCGACCAAGACGAUAAUGACGGUACUGGUGGAAGAAGCACCGGCUAACUCUGCGCCAGCAGCCGC
rnacentral:rRNA from 1 species